GAUGAAGAACGCAGCGAAAUGCGAUACGUAAUGUGAAUUGCAGAAUUCAGUGAAUCAUCGAGUCUUUGAACGCACAUUGGGCCCCCUGGUAUUCCGGGGGGCAAGCCUGUCCGAGCGUCAUUGCUGCCCUCAAGCACGGCUUGUGUGUUGGGCCUCCGUCCUCCUCCCGGGGGACGGGCCCGAAAGGCAGCGGCGGCACCGCGUCCGGUCCUCGAGCGUAUGGGGCUUCGUCACCCGCUCUUGUAGGCCCGGCCGGCGCUUGCCGACACAUCAAUCUUUUUUCCAGGUUGACCUCGGAUCAGGUAGGGAUACCCGCUGAACUUAAGCAUAUCAAUAAGCGGAGGA
rnacentral:misc_RNA from 1 species